AACGAACGCUGGCGGCAUGCCUAACACAUGCAAGUCGAACGAGCCCUUCGGGUCUUGUGGCGCACGGGUUCGUAACGCGUGGGAACCUGCCCUUAGGUUCGGAAUAACUCCCCGACAGGGGUGCUAAUACCGGAUAAUGUCUUCGGACCAAAGAUUUAUCGCCUUUGGAUGGGCCCGCGUUGGAUUAGCUAGUUGGUAGGGUAAAAGCCUACCAAGGCGACGAUCCAUAGCUGGUUUGAGAGGAUGAUCAGCCACACUGAGACUGAGACACGGCCCAGACUCCUACGGGAGGCAGCAGUGGGGAAUAUUGGACCAUGGGCGAAAGCCUGAACCAGCAAUGCCGCGUGAGUGAUGAAGGCCUUAUGGUUGUAAAGCUCUUUUACCCGGGAUGAUAAUGACAGUACCGGGAGAAUAAGCUCCGGCUAACUCCGUG
rnacentral:rRNA from 1 species